AUUGAACGCUGGCGGCAGGCUUAACACAUGCAAGUCGAGCGGAGAGAGGUAGCUUGCUACUGAUCUUAGCGGCAGACGGGUGAGUAAUGCUUAGGAAUCUGCCUAUUAGUGGGGGACAACAUUCCGAAAGGAAUGCUAAUACCGCAUACGCCCUACGGGGGAAAGCAGGGGAUCUUCGGACCUUGCGCUAAUAGAUGAGCCUAAGUCAGAUUAGCUAGUUGGUGGGGUAAAGGCCUACCAAGGCGACAAUCUGUAGCGGGUCUGAGAGGAUGAUCCGCCACACUGGGACGGGGACACGGCCCAGACUCCUACGGGAGGCAGCAGUGGGGAAUAUUGGACAAUGGGCGAAAGCCUGAUCCAGCCAUGCCGCGUGUGUGAAGAAGGCCUUUUGGUUGUAAAGCACUUUAAGCGAGGAGGAGGCUACUUGGAUUAAUACUCUAGGAUAGUGGACGUUACUCGCAGAAUAAGCACCGGCUAACUCUGUGCCAGCCGCCGCAGUAAAAC
rnacentral:rRNA from 1 species